rnacentral:tRNA from 1 species
UUUUUAAUGGCAGAUAAAAAUGUGACAAUUUUAGAAGUUGUAGAGUGAAGGUAAAGAA